rnacentral:rRNA from 1 species
AUUGAACGCUGGCGGCAUGCUUUACACAUGCAAGUCGGACGGCAGCACAGAGAAGCUUGCUUCUUGGGUGGCGAGUGGCGAACGGGUGAGUAACAUAUCGGAACGUACCGAGCAGUGGGGGAUAACUAAUCGAAAGAUUAGCUAAUACCGCAUAUCUUCUGAGGAAGAAAGCAGGGGACCAUUUGGCCUUGCGCUGUUUGAGCGGCCGAUAUCUGAUUAGCUAGUUGGCGGGGUAAAGGCCUACCAAGGCGACGAUCAGUAGCGGGUCUGAGAGGAUGAUCCGCCACACUGGGACUGAGACACGGCCCAGACUCCUACGGGAGGCAGCAGUGGGGAAUUUUGGACAAUGGGCGCAAGCCUGAUCCAGCCAUGCCGCGUGUCUGAAGAAGGCCUUCGGGUUGUAAAGGACUUUUGUCAGGGAAGAAAAGGGCGGGGUUAAUACCCCUGUCUGAUGACGGUACCUGAAGAAUAAGC